CUUUCAGUCGUGAGAGUCAAUCUUCAAAAUGAACACAAAAAUCGCCAUUUGUCUGAUCCUUCCUUGUAUCAUCGCACUGGUUUCCUGUGCUUAUUACCCUGGGUACUCUGGAUACCAACAACCAAGACAGGUGGCUCCUUAUGCAAACUAUGCUGCCAAUAGUUACCAGGGUCUGAAACAGGCUAGACUCUUUAACUACCUCCUCGGAGGUCUGUACUUCUUAAACCUCUUUAACUUCACUGGAAACAGAAUCGCUGGUUAAACAACUUUUUUCACAAACAUCAAAGGUUAACAAGCAGUACCUUGCACAGUCAUGGAGAAAGAUAAAAGUGUGUUAAAAAAGAUUUCACCGUCAGUUUAGAUUACCUUCUGUAAACUUUGUUCCAUUAUUUGAAUCUGUUCGUUAACAAAAUACCUUUAUUUGUUACAUUAACACUCCCGGAGACUUCUUUUCAAAGAAUGUAUUCCCAGAUUAAAAACUGUUUGACUAUUCAAACCCUUCAUUGUUUUACAUAACUUCUGUUCGCCAUUUUAUACCUAAUUGUGAAAUAAAAUCUGUGUCUUCAACCAA